ACUCCUACGGGAGGCAGCAGUGGGGAAUUUUGGACAAUGGGCGAAAGCCUGAUCCAGCAAUGCCGCGUGAGUGAAGAAGGCCUUCGGGUUGUAAAGCUCUUUUGUCAGGGAAGAAACGGUGAGAGCUAAUAUCUCUUGCUAAUGACGGUACCUGAAGAAUAAGCACCGGCUAACUACGUGCCAGCAGCCGCGGUAAUACGUAGGGUGCAAGCGUUAAUCGGAAUUACUGGGCGUAAAGCGUGCGCAGGCGGUUUUGUAAGUCUGAUGUGAAAUCCCCGGGCUCAACCUGGGAAUUGCAUUGGAGACUGCAAGGCUAGAAUCUGGCAGAGGGGGGUAGAAUUCCACGUGUAGCAGUGAAAUGCGUAGAUAUGUGGAGGAACACCGAUGGCGAAGGCAGCCCCCUGGGUCAAGAUUGACGCUCAUGCACGAAAGCGUGGGGAGCAAACAGGAUUAGAAACCCCAGUAGUCCCA
rnacentral:rRNA from 1 species